rnacentral:lncRNA from 1 species
UAAUGAGCAGCUAGUAGUCUCAUUUAGGGACAUUCACCUGCCUGGGCACAGUGGAGAUGAUUAGAUGAGAACCGGCCCUUUCAGGUUAGUACCCAAGGAUCCACUUUCUAAAAGGAGAGUGCCUGCACAGAUUAAUUUUUGAGCCAAGCUGGUCUUGCAAGGCUGGGUCUCUUCCCUCACUCUGCUCUUACUGCAUCCUCCACUGCAAAGCACCAGGCCGGGACGAGCAGAGGCAGACAUUGAAGCAAGAGUUUCUGGGAGGUGCUCUGUAGCUCCAUUAUCAUGUGAACAAUAAAAGAGGAUCCUUGGGCUGCUGAGAUGAUUCAGUGGAUACAGCUGCUUUCUGCCAAGUGGGAUGACCUGAAUAUGAUCCCUGGAACCCACAUGGUGGAAGGAAGAGAACCAACUUCCACAAAGCUGUCCUCUGACUCCACACGUAUUCUGUGACACGCAGACGUGCACCCGCGCACAUGCAUGCAUGCAUGCAGAAGCAAUAAAGACUGCUGUUUGAACGCUGUACUGUAGAAGGCACAGACUGAGAUGCUGGAUCAACUGCGCAUGCCUGUCUUUGUGACCGGCUGCUAUCGAUCCUUCCGAGCCCGUGUGCCACGCUGGAAAGCUGCAUCUAAGAGUUAAGAUUUACUGGCUUAAAAGCGUGUGUGUCGUGGGAUUGCGCGGUGGCUCAAUUGUGAGAAUUCAAUGUGAACAUCUUUGAAAUGCAGUUUCAAAUCUCCCACACGCUGACAAGAGCCACGUGAACCAUUGUGCAGCACUGCACCCAUUUGACAGAUGAGAGCAUGGAUACCUAACCGGAGCCUGGCAGGUCUUGGACAGCAGAGGCCACCCUGCAUCUGACACCAUCUCUUGUAAUCCAUGACUUCUCUUCCUGCCUCCAUGAAUCUCCAGAUAACAGAUUCCUGCCCUCCUAAAAGAUGGGACAAGACAAACACCAAAGGGCAGUGUUGGACUGCAGGGGGGACCAGGAGACCUUACUGACUCGUCGGCAAUAAAGUUUGUGUGGAACUGACAUCCUAGCAGGCUCCUGGGCGAUGCAGAUGCUGGCAUUCUGGGCACUGCCCUUUGGAAAGCUAUGAUGACCACUGAAGCAGAACAGACCAAAGCAAAGAGGUGGGAAAGUCGCGAGAAGAUACAGGACUGGCUGGGAUACAUCAGGAAGAGGAGCUGCGAUGGAUGGGACUUCAAAUGGAAGUUGGUGAUUAUAUCCGUCCCAGCACCUCCCGCCUUGCAAGAGAGGCCUUAUAAAUCCUGGUCACAAGGAAGGGAAACAGAAGCUCAAGGAAGAGAGAGCCAUGGCUUCCUAGGUGUCAGUGAAGACCCAGACGCUGAAACUAUAACCGCCUAGUUCAGAAACCUAUACUUUGCUUGACCACAAUCCAAGCAGGGGGUGGGGAUGGGAUGUUUUUCUGCAGGGCUGGACAUAGAGUCAGUGUUCAGAGCACAUUGUUGGAGAGAGGAAGGAUGGGUGAGUGAAUAAGUGAAGAAAUGAAUGAGAGAACAGAACCACUUUGAGAGCCUGGAAACCGGGACCUCACGCUCUGUGACCUCACGCUCCAACUUCCCCUCCUCCCCGAGUCUGAUCUGAAAGGUGACCCCCGUUCCUCUCGCCCAGGUGAUAAAGCCAGGUGCAGGUGCACCUGUUACCCAAACCUGAUAUCCAAAUAGGAAGUAAGGCUGAGAUAAGGCUGUGGAGGGCAGUGCCUGGAAUCACGGGGUUGGGCUGGCCAUUGGCUUGAUGCCACAAGUGUCCACCGAGCCUCUCCUAAAGGUUGAGCUCUAUGCCAGGUUCCUUCAGGGUGAGGCAGGAAGCCACGCAGCUCCUGACCUCCAACAGCUUAUGGAAAAAAAAAAUACUUACAAACAGGAUGUGGGUCGGGCAAAGGGAGAAGUGUGAAGCAGGUGGCCAUUGCUCCCUGACAGCUCCAACAGGGAGUUGGGACUGAGAGAUGAGAAGAAAUGAGGCAGUAGUUAGUGAUGCCAGGGGAGGGGCCUGACCCUUGCACUGCCAUUGCUGAGGAAUAAGAGGUCCUUAAAGUUUAGCUCCUCAGACCCAGACCCCUCCCCAGUCCUCCUAC